rnacentral:tRNA from 1 species
AUUUUUAUAGUGUAAAUAACAUAUUGUUUUUUCAAAACAAAGAUAUUUUUAUUAAAAAUA